UUCGCGGAGGGCCUCCUUAAAGCUCCUUUUUCAAUAGAAGACGUUGAAGGGAGGUCCUUCUUUGGGCGGCUGUCAAAUGCCUUCCUCAGAAGGAUCCGUUGGAUUCCAAGAAGGUCAACACCAUAGUAGACUACACAACGCAACAUUUCAGCCUACUUCCAGGGCAGCUGGAGAACUCGUCCUCCUUACUAGCCCGGGGAUAUUAAAUGGAUGUGUUCAAGCACAAA
rnacentral:lncRNA from 1 species